AACGCAAAUUGCACUCUCUGGUAACCCGGGGAGUAUGCCUGUUUGAGGGUCAGUGUUAAUAAAAAAUCGGUGCGUUGCAAUUUUUGUGAUGUUCCGGAGUUUGAGUUAUCUUAUCUUCUGGGUUUAAGAGGCUUAAAAUUGACCUUCUUUGUGCAUUUUAGACGUACAUAAAUUUUUUUUUAUUCGUUUAUCUUAAUGCCAAAAUCUAUUAGAUGCGACCAUAUCGUGUGGUUCCGUGUCUAUAAAUUUUUCAUGAUUUGACCUCAAAUCAGGUAGGAACACCCGCUGAACUUAA
rnacentral:misc_RNA from 1 species